CAGAGGAAGACGAAGAGACGGAGUUGGGGAGUGGAGAAGGACUGGAGUUCCUGCACAGUGAGCCAGAACACAGUCAAGAAUAAUCAACAAAAUCUAUCAGGAUUGGAAAAAUAGUUGGACUGUCAGCAGCCUCCGAUGACUCUUGCCUUGAUCCAACGUGAGCUUUAUGACGGAACUGUCGGUGAAGAGCAACGUGGGGGGAGCACCUGAGUAUUUGAGGACUCCCAACCGUAACGUGUGAGGACAGCGGAGGAGAAUCUCCAUCACAGAAGACUGGAAAUAGCUCCUUGUAACUAUUCGGUACUAUGCUACCAGAUUAUGACUCUGGCUUCUGACUCCACAGAACAAAUUGUUAACUAACAAAUCCUCAGUCCCUUGUGAAAACAGCUGGCCAGUGGACUCGAGUCUUAUCUAUAAACGCAAAGUCUACAGCACGUUGUCUGUAGAUUUCAGGAAAAGGAGGAGGUCAUGGAUCUCAUUGUCUGAUUAUAAGUGAUGGUCAUGUGAAUAAAAGGCCAAGAAAUACAUUGUGUUCCAGCAGACCAGUCCCAAUGGCUUCUCUGAUGUCUAUGCCUACAGGAAUCCUGGGAGUCAUAUGGAAGAUACUGAUUUUUGUUGGUUUUAUUUUAAUUGUAUUUACUGUAUGCAUGUAAAUGCCUUGCCUGA